AGUCAAAGCAGGAGGAUACAGACCUGCUCUCUCUCUCCAUCCCCUCUGAACUUAAAAGUCCUGCAGAACUUCAGACCUAUUUUGUAGUCAACAGCAAAGACCAGUGACAUGAUGAAGGCGGCCAUUAUUUUCACUCUGCUCCUGACCACUGUGCUGUGCAGACCACACACACACACACACACACACACACACACACACACACACACACACACACACACACACACACACACACACACACACACACACACACACACACACACACACACACACACACACACAAUCACACAUGACUCACACUGACUCACACAUGACUCACAAUGAUAUAUAUGUAGCAUGUAUAUAAAGACAUAUUACAAUAAUAAUUUGAAAAAACAAUGGCAUAUGUAGUAUCAAUAUGGUUCCAUGAUGUUACCAUAGCAACAUGUUGCGUUUUGUUCUGUUUCAGGCCAGGAGAACAUUCAGCAGCUCAGAGAGCUCAGAGGAACAGGUUAAACCCGCCCGGGCCAAGGGAAACCGAGCUCCAGUCCAGAGGAUCCGGGCGUCGGACCCUCUCUCUUCAGAAGAAGAGGCGAGUCACCCAUCAUAUCCCACCUUGGUUAGCUGGCAACAUGGGACACUAGGGUCUCUUAUCCAUGUGUCUGUUAAUAACAGAGAGAAUAUUCUAGAUUGAGAGGUUGGGCAUCUUGUAGGUUUUCUUGCUGUCCUUUACAAGGAGACAGCUGGUUUCACUCAGUAGUGGUGCUCCGUGCCAAUAGGGUAAUCAACAAAGUAGAUGCUGAGGUGUACAAAUCAUCUCCUGAACAUACUUGGGUCUUUAUUUAGGUACAGGUUGUCACUGGUUACCUACCCCUUGUUACCAC
ensembl:lncRNA